rnacentral:piRNA from 1 species
AUAUGACUCCUGGUGAUUGG